GCCCGGGUGGUGGAACUGGUAGACACGCAGGACUUAAAAUCCUGUAGCCAUUGCGGCUGUACGAGUUCGAUUCUCGUCCCGGGUA
rnacentral:tRNA from 2 species